CUUUACUAACUACUUUAAUUAAGUUGAUUUUAAAGUUCUAGGAGAUGGCAAUAGGUAAGAAUAAUUAUGGCUGCCAAAUUGUUAUCUUUUGCUAUCGGGCAACUCAAAAGCAAAGAAUUUAGGACAUAUCUCUGCAGCACUCACUUUUGGGGACCUGUGGCAAACUGGGGCAUUCCUAUUGCAGCAAUAUCAGACAUAAAAAAGGAUCCUAGCAUAAUUAGUGGGAAAAUGACUUUAGCUUUGUGCAUAUAUUCUCUACUUUUUAUGAGAUUUGCAUGGAAAGUUCAACCUCGGAAUUUAUUAUUGUUUGCUUGUCACUUUACAAAUGAAGCUGCUCAGAUAACUCAAGGAUGUCGACUUAUAAAACACGAAUAUUGAGCGUGGAUACUCGGAAGAUUAUUUAACCAAAGAUAUGCUACUUUCAUUGAUGGAACUGGUUGGCAAAGAGUUUAUAAGUAUUUAAGUCCCUCAGGAUAAACAGAUGAAAUAUAUUGUUGAUGUAGUUGAAUUUGUUAUAUUUUGUCCUUGAAAUUUUAAUUUAUUGCUGUAACUUAUAGGUAGGUUAGAUGUGUGAUUAUCACUUGUUUCCUGGAUGCUAAUAUAUGUACACUAAAAGUUAAUUUCUAUUGAUUAUUCUGUGCAAUAAAAUUUUGUUAUUUUUUAUUUGUGAAUAGAUGUUUGUGCAUUACCUUCAGAGCAAAAAUCUAUUAAACUACGAUUGAAAAUAGUUCGAAAGUACAAUAAAUUGUAUGCAAGCGUUGUUAAUGUUUAUAAAGCUUCAUUCUCAGAAUUGACUUGUCUGUAAGAAGUUCUAAUUAUGUUUUACUGUAUAGAUUUGUAGCCUGUACACAUUAAUCAACAGACAUGCUAGAAACAAUAUGCGUUUAUAAUUUGGAAUUAUACUUGCAAUACUGUUAUAGCAAUAAAACUUCAAUUUUUUUUUGCAUU